CAACAAGCUGCUCCACAUCUCUGGAUACAGCUUGGAGCACUUGAACACAUGGCGAAGCAGGACCGCCAGUUAUAACCGUCUGCGUGACGGUGGGCUCCGGUGUGUUCAGGGCCUCUCCAGGCUUAGACACAUCUCACCUGCACAACAACACGAGUUGUGCAGCGUGGGAGCCUGAAUCUGCGCCUGGACUAGAGGUGCUCCAGCUGAGUACAACAACAUCUCCUACAUAAGAACGACGCCCUGGCCCCUCUCUACCCCUGGCGGUCCU